AAACACCUCCCAUUAGGCCUCACCUCCAACACUGGAGAUCAGACUCCAACAUUAGAUUUGGAAGGGACAAGCAUCCAAGCUGUAGCAUGGUUCCAGGUUGGAAAUCAUUUUCCCUUCAACAUUCGAAGGCAGUGCACUCAGUGUUGCUGUUGAGAAAUCUGAAGCCGUGCAGAUUCCCAUCUCCGGGGGCUGUUCUGCUUGCUGGAUUGGAAAUGAUUUUAGCCCCUCAUGCCAGGAAGAAAACAUAGGCAGAUUUCUCACCAGCUAAAAAGGAAGGAAAAAUUGUGAAGUGAAAUUUUCUACUGGCUGUGGUUUAUCCAUGUUAAAUUGUAAAGCAUAUAACACAGAUGGAAUCCGGCACAUGCAAAACACUCACAAAACCUAGUUACUACUACUGCUGGCGCUGCGGCUACACGACUACAACUACUACUACAGCCACUACUCUCCUCCUACUGCUACUGCUGCUGCUGCUAGUGUUUCGUAAAGUGGAGCUACAGAAAUCAACAUUUUUUUUCUUAGCUGCACAGUGAAUUCGUUUUUUGGACUCCAGUAUUCUUCCUGAAGGUCUGUUUCAUCCUAGUAUGACUCUCACUUUUUUUUCAAAAUUUUAUUUUAUUUUAUUUUUGAAAUGGAGCCUCACUCUGUUGCCCAGGCUGGAGUGCAGUGGCGUGAUCUCGGCUCACUACAACCUCCGCCUCUGGGUUCAAGAGAUUCUCCUGCCUCGGCCUACUGAGUAGCUGGGAUUACAGGCACGCGCCACCACGCCCAGCUAAUUUUUGUAUUUUCAGAAGAGAUGGGGUUUCACCAUGUUGGCCAGGAGGGUCUCAAUCUCCUGACCUCAUGAUCCGCCUGCCUCGGCUUCCCAAAGUGCUGGGAUUGCAGGCGUGAGCCACCAUGCCUCUACAUUUUAAUUUUUUAAAACUUACCAUCUUUAUCAUUUUUAAGUGUACAGUUAAGUGGUAAUAAAUACAUAUGUAUCUCCUAUCUCAUUUCCUUAUUUUCAUCCCCCAUCCCAUUUCUGGACUCUGGCUAAUAGCAGUCUACUCGGUAUCAUCACGAGAUCCACGUUUUUAGUUUCCACAUAUGAAUGAGAACAUGCGAUAUUUGUCUUUCUGUGCUUGGCUUAUUUCACUUAACAUAAUGGCCUCUGGUUCCAUCCAUGCUGCUGCAAGUGACAGGAUUUCACUCUUUUUAUAGCUGAAUAAUAUUCCAUUGUGUAAAUAUAACACAUUUCCUUUAUUCAUCUGUUGAUGGGUACUUACGUUGAUUCUAUAUUUUGAAUAGUGCUGCAGUAAACAUGGGAGGGAGAUAUCUCUUUAAUAUACUGAUUUCCUUUCUUUUGAGUAUAUACCCAGCAGUGAAAUUGCUAGACCAAAUGGUAGUUCUAUUUUUAGUUUUUUUGCAGAACCUCCAUACUGUUCUAAUUUACAUUCCCACCAACAGCGUAUGAGGAUUCCCCUUUCUCCACAUCUUCGCCAGAUCUGUUAUCGCCUGCCUUUAUUUACUUAUUUUUAUUUUUAAUUCUUGUGGGUACGUAGUAGGUAUAUAUGGGAUACAUUAGCUGUUUUGAUAUAGACAUGCAAUCUGUAAUAAUCAUAUCAUGGAAAAUGGGGUAUCCGUCCCCUCAAGCAUUUAUUCUUUGUGUUACCAACAAUUCAAUUAUACUCUUUCAGUUAUUUUGAAAUGUAUAAUUAAAUUAUUAUUGAUGUAGUCUCCCUGUUGUGCCGUCAUUAAUUCUAAGACUUAUUCAUUAAUUCUAUUUUUUGUACCCAUUGCCUGCCUUUUUGAUACAAGCCAUUUUAACUGGGGUGCAAUGAUAUCUCAUUGUGGUUUUGAUUUGCACUUCUCUGAUGAUUAGUGAUAUUGAGCAUUUUUUCUUAUACCUGUUAGCCAUGUGUAUGUCUGUUUUUGAGAAAUGUCUGUUCAAAUCUUUUGCC
rnacentral:lncRNA from 10 species